ACUCCUACGGGAGGCAGCAGUGGGGAAUAUUGCACAAUGGGGCGCAAGCCUGAUGCAGCCAUGCCGCGUGUAUGAAGAAGGCCUUCGGGUUGUAAAGUACUUUCAGCAGUGAGGAAGGCGGGUGUGUUAAUAGCGCAUUCGUUUGACGUUAGCUGCAGAAGAAGCACCGGCUAACUCCGUGCCAGCAGCCGCGGUAAUACGGAGGGUGCGAGCGUUAAUCGGAAUUACUGGGCGUAAAGCGCAUGCAGGUGGUUUGUUAAGUCAGAUGUGAAAGCCCGGGGCUCAACCUCGGAAUUGCAUUUGAAACUGGCAGACUAGAGUACUGUAGAGGGGGGUAGAAUUUCAGGUGUAGCGGUGAAAUGCGUAGAGAUCUGAAGGAAUACCGGUGGCGAAGGCGGCCCCCUGGACAGAUACUGACACUCA
rnacentral:rRNA from 1 species